GUGGGCGUGGUCCAAUGGCUACGAUCUCCGACUGUGACUCGGAGGAUGCUCGGUUCGAUUCCGGCCGCCCACCCCA
rnacentral:tRNA from 1 species